GAUGAACGCUAGCUACAGGCUUAACACAUGCAAGUCGAGGGCACGGCGCACGGGUGUGUAACACGUAUCCAACCUGCCCUUUACUCGGGGAUAGCCUUUCGAAAGAAAGAUUAAUACCUGACAUAAAGGAUGGGGAUGCGUUCCUUUAGGUUGUUGGUGAGAUAGUGGCUCACCAAGCCUUCGAUGGAUAGGGGUUCUGAGAGGAAGGUCCCCCACAUUGGAGCUGAGACACGGACCAAACUCCUACGGGAGGCAGCAUUGCGGAUUAUUGGUCAAUGGGCGCUAUCCUGAACCAGCCAAAUAUCGUGAUGAAUGAAGGCUUGUGGGUCGUAGACUUCUUUUAUAUUAGAAUGGGUAUUAUAUGAAUAAGGAUCGGCUAGCUCCGUGCCAGCAGCCGCGGUAAUAG
rnacentral:rRNA from 1 species